ensembl:snoRNA LOC120103345 small nucleolar RNA SNORA17
ACCUCAAGGCAUUGCAGGAAUAGCUGCUGUGUUACCUGCAUUUCAGUAGGUAGCAGAGAGAGGUUAUGUUUACACUCAGGGGUAGAACCUUGGAACAUCUCAGUGAGUAGUAACCCAACAUU